rnacentral:rRNA from 1 species
GGUUAAGUUAGAAAGGGCGCACGGUGGAUGCCUUGGCACUAGGAGCCGAAGAAGGACGGGACUAACACCGAUAUGCUUUGGGGAGCUGUACGUAAGCGUUGAUCCAGAGAUUUCCGAAUGGGGGAACCCACUAUCUUUAGUCGGAUAGUAUCCUUACGUGAAUACAUAGCGUGAGGAAGGCAGACCCAGGGAACUGAAACAUCUAAGUACCUGGAGGAAGAGAAAGAAAAAUCGAUUUCCUGAGUAGCGGCGAGCGAAACGGAAAGAGCCCAAACCAAGAAGCUUGCUUCUUGGGGUUGUAGGACACUCUAUACGGAGUUACAAAAGAAAGUUAUAAAUGAAGCGGUCUGGAAAGGCCCGCCAAAGACGGUAACAGCCCGGUAGUUGAAAUGGCUUUCCCUCCAGAGUGGAUCCUGAGUACGGCGGAACACGUGAAAUUCCGUCGGAAUCCGGGAGGACCAUCUCCCAAGGCUAAAUACUCCCUAGUGACCGAUAGUGAACCAGUACCGUGAGGGAAAGGUGAAAAGCACCCCGGAAGGGGAGUGAAACAGUUCCUGAAACCGUGUGCCUACAAGUAGUUAGAGCCCGUUAAUGGGUGAUAGCGUGCCUUUUGUAGAAUGAACCGGCGAGUUACGAUUUGUUGCAAGGUUAAGCGGAAAAAGCGGAGCCGUAGCGAAAGCGAGUCUGAAUAGGGCGCAUAAGUAACAGGUCGUAGACCCGAAACCAGGUGAUCUACCCAUGUCCAGGAUGAAGGUAAGGUAAUACUUACUGGAGGUCCGAACCCACGCACGUUGAAAAGUGCGGGGAUGAGGUGUGGGUAGCGGAGAAAUUCCAAUCGAACUUGGAGAUAGCUGGUUCUCUCCGAAAUAGCUUUAGGGCUAGCCUCGAGGUAAAGAGUCAUGGAGGUAGAGCACUGUUUGGACUAGGGGCCCUUCUCGGGUUACCGAAUUCAGAUAAACUCCGAAUGCCAUGUACUUAUACUCGGGAGUCAGACUGCGAGUGAUAAGAUCCGUAGUCGAAAGGGAAACAGCCCAGACCACCAGUUAAGGUCCCCAAAUAUAUGUUAAGUGGAAAAGGAUGUGGGGUUGCUUAGACAACCAGGAUGUUGGCUUAGAAGCAGCCACCAUUGAAAGAGUGCGUAAUAGCUCACUGGUCGAGUGACCCCGCGCCGAAAAUGUACCGGGGCUAAACAUAUUACCGAAACUGUGGAUGAACCUCUUUAGAGGUUCGUGGUAGGAGAGCGUUCUAAGGGCGGUGAAGUCAGACCGGAAGGACUGGUGGAGCGCUUAGAAGUGAGAAUGCCGGUAUGAGUAGCGA